UACGUAGGGGGCAAGCGUUGUCCGGAUUCAUUGGGCGUAAAGAGCGUGUAGGCGGCCAGGUAGGUCGGUUGUGAAAACUGGAGGCUCAACCUUCAGAGGUCGACCGAAACCAUCUGGCUAGAGUCCGGGAGAGGAGAGUGGAAUUCCUGGUGUAGCGGUGAAAUGCGCAGAUAUCAGGAGGAACACCGGUGGCGAAGGCGCCGCUCUGGGCCGAAACUGACGCUGAGGAGCGAAAGCGUGGGGAGCGAACAGG
rnacentral:rRNA from 1 species